CACCCUUUAUACAACUGGGUUUUGUUUUGUUUAUUUAUUUAUUUUAUUAUUAUUCCCCUUUUGUGUUAUAAAAUCAUGAAUAUACAUGACGGACAUGUCUUCAGAUGCAUUGACGGGAAGCGAGGUUACUCGCCCAAAAACCAAUAGCUACAAAUCUUAAGGGAUGUUGAUUUUUUUUCCCAUCACAAAAUGUCGAUGCAUUCAAAUUUAAUAGUUUUUUUGGAAGUAUAUGUUUGGAGUAAUGCUAGGAAGAUCAAAUUUUUAAAUAAAAAUUUGUAAGUCAAAUGAUAUGAAUUUUGAUGAUUGAAUUAUUUCUUUUAAGUAUUAAUAAACGUGAUUAUUUUUUAUCGUAUCAAAUUGUAACAAUGAUCCUCAACUUUAACUCAAUUGGAGGAAUGGUCCCUCAACCAAAAAUUCAUGACCAAUGAUCCCUUAACUCCUCAAAACGUGCAGUUAUGAUCCUUUUCGUCAACUGCGUUAGAAUUUUUGUUAAAACGGAUAUGUAGACAUGUAAAUUUUGUUGCAUACAAAUGAUGCAUUACAACGCUCUACGUGGCAUAUGACUCUGAAGGAAAUAUUCUGAAAAACAUGUUCAUUUGAGCAACAUCUAUAGCAUGCAAUUAACAAUUAAAAGGCGGAAUCAUGCUUGCAUGCACUCAAAAACAAUACAUUAACCAUGAAAUUCAAAGCCUAGUAGAUUGGUGAACCUUGACUCAACUUAAAACAACAUUUGUUAGUUGAGAAAUUAUACCUUUGUAGAUUCCUCUUUGCAUAAGCAAAGGCUAAUCACCCAAAGAGAGGGCCUUCAUUCCUUGCAUCUUAGAUCUAUGGAUUUGGAUGGAUGAAAUGGUUCUCCAAGUUCCCAAAAUUGAGAACCUCUAAGUCUCUUCACCAAGGUUAGAUUGAAGAAGAAAUGAGUGACCUUGGAGUAGUAGGAUUGCUAGCUAAACCCUCCAAGGAGGCCGGCCACUUUAGAGAGAAAUGAGAGCUUUUGUUCUCAUCCUUUCCCCAAAAGAAAACCCUGAAUGAAUUUUGGCUAUAAAGUCAUAUUUAUACCUUAAUUCAUUAGAGUGGCAAACUUGUAAAUAAGUCCAAAACUCACUCCAUCUCUAAAUGGCCGACCUUAGGGUAUUAUUGGGCUAAUUGGGCCUUUGUGAAUCAUUAUUCAUUAAGUUGUCAUACAACUUAAUUCAAUGGGCUUGACGUUCAAAGCCCAUUGGGCCUUAAGGUCCAAAACUAUCCUGAGGUCUUUAACGAACUUAUUCGUUUGAUUAAUUAACAUAUUAAUUAAUCCUUGCCAUAAAUAAUUAAACCAUUUAAUUAUUCUUACUCAUCUCCAUUGUUUCUUCAAUCUCCACCUUACACGGUGUACGAUCCAUUAGGUUCCUUUUAGCGAGGCAGUGGACGAUUAAAACCAUUUCAAAUCGAUUGUGAAUUGAAACUUACUUUCAAUUCUCCCUUUAGUGAUUAUACACGUUUAGGGCUUCCACAAACCAUGAGUGACACCUACGUACUUGUCUUGAUCGUGUUCAGUGAACUCAUUCUCUAGUAAGCACCUACGUACUUGUCUUGGUGUCACACACACCAAUGACUCGAGACUAGUCACUUUCCUUGAGAAAAGACACAUCACGUACUAAUCUUAACGGACUGUCAAUGCCCAAUUGGCAAUCCUAUGAUCAGGAACGUUUAGGAUGUGUCUAUGAAAGAAUGGUCUCAUGAAUCUAACUUCUUUAGAUCGCAUUCUCCCAAUCACAUAUUCCUUGGACUUAUCGUUUAAGCGUAUAACAUUUAUAUGAGACGGCUUAAACAAUAAUCUUUGCCCUUGAUAUUAAACUAGAUUAGUUUAACAUGUGAAAUGCCCGUAAAGUAUCAUCAUAUGAUUGGUUUUAGGGCAUAUUUCCAACAGACUCAUCAUAAAUGGACAAGUCAUCAAUGACGUGCCACAAAUCAAGCAAAGGAAGCUCAAAGCAUUCCUAAAAUGCGGCAAAGGGGAAGAAAUCUCCUUAAAAUCGGCAAGGGGCCCAAAUUGCUCCUAAAAUCGGAAAGAAAGCUAAAGCAUCUUCACAAAACAAGUAAGGAUUGAAGAUUGCUCGCAAAAUAGGCAAGAAAGAGCCCUAUAGAUUUUGGCCAAGCAAGGGAAAGUGGCUGAAAUUAAGACGCAAAACAUGCCUAAAUUCUCCCAUGGACGAAUCAAGACACAAAUCAAAGCUAAAUCCAUCUAAAGGCAAACUUUGAGAAGUUUAUAAAUACAAGGUGCUUAGACAAGUAUAAAGGUCGACAAUUUAUACAUUAAAGGGCCGAAAUUCUCACAAAAAGAGGACCUCUGCCAAAUCUUUGAAGACUAAUACGCUGCCAAGGCUCUCUUCGAAGAACGUACAACUAAAGCAGAAGCUUUCUUUUGACCAAAGCCAAAGCAUUCCCUUGAAGAAUCAACAAGCACCUAUGCCGAUUUCUUCAAGACUUUGUUGCAAGCUUAAAACUUGUAACAAUGUUCGAUUCAAAAUCAAGUCUGAAUCAACAAAAUCCCACAUCAACAUCACCUUUGCCUCAACCCUAAACCUGAGGUGAAGACUAUCAAAGCGUUGUUUCAAGCCCAAAACUUGAAGCAAUCGUUUAAUCGGUCGUUACUUGAAGUAAUCGUUCAAUCGGUCGUCAGAGAUCAAGUCAUCGCGACCCUUGGAUCAACAACCUACGCAUCUACAUCAAAUUUAAAGACUGAAUCAGAGGAAAGUUGUAAAUAGAGAUUGUAAAUCAAUACAUCUACUUUGUACAAGUGUUCUUGUUUCAUUCGUUACAGAAUUUUUAUGUCUACAAAUUUGGCACGCUCGGUAGGACCUUUCUGCCUCUUAUCUUUGUCUUUAAAUCCACAAGAAAUAUACAUGGCAUCAAGAAAUGAUCAAGCUGUUCCGGCAAUCAACAUGAAGAACAAGAACAUCCUUGUCGCAAGUGGUGGAACUUUGGGCAUCACAACCCAUAGCAAGGUAAUAGCUCUCUUUGGUGUGCCUUCCACACCUAUAUCAACUCUGCCGAAUGAGUAAGAGCACCCGAGGCAUGAGCCCGUGAUCACCUUGGCCUCGCUAAGGGUGCCAAGGGAAGAAAGCCCAAUGAGGUACUCCGAGUCGGUGAGUUCUGAUGCUGACUCAAGUAGCAGCUCGUAUCCCGUAGCCAUGCAAGUCAUGACUACUGGUGCGACUUCAAUCGAAAAGCAGUAGGCAUAAAUGAGCAAAGCAAUUGCAAGGCUGACAAGGACCGUGGAGGAAAAGAACUUGCAGAUUGCUACACUCGUCAACCAUCUGGAGGCGCAGCACGAUGAGCAAGCUGACCCAAAGUUUGAUCCACCAAAGGAGAAAGUUGACAAAAAUAAGGAGCCUCUUAUGGACAAAGCUAAUGAGAAGCUAGAGGUGGACCGAGCUACGAUGCUCAUGGAUCUCUCUCUAUCCAACAUCUGCAAUAGAUGAUCACAAGCACCAUCAAGGCGCAGUAUGAAGGAAGCUCACAUGACUUCGUGCUAUAUUCAAAGCCUUACUCUAAAUAGAUUGCGUCUUAAGGAUGUCAAGGGGUUAUCAGCUCUUGAAGAAAUUCAACAUCAGAAUUGCUUCAAGGGGGUUUCUUCUAUGAACUUUAGUUUCACUCAUGUUGUUCUUGAUAUUUAUAUAUUAUGUAAUCAUGUUAUGUAAUUAAGUUCAUAAUUGGGGAUUUUGAUGUAGCCUUGCAAAACUACUUUAUGUUAUUAAGUUAAAGUAUUCAAACUACCAAUCUGUGUUCUUGUUCCAUUUACUGAUUUUAAGUAUAAUUUGUUUUGUUAAUCUUAAUGUUUGAUCACCAUAAGGGUUUCUUAUAGAUUAUUUGAUCAAGGUUAUAUUACACAUCAUGCUUAAUCUUGGUGGACAUGUGAAUGAAUAAAGAAAUUGUUAUGCAUACAUCCUGCUAUGUGAUUUCUUUGGUUCUUUGAAGUUCUCUUGUUCUUAAUGGAUUCUUAUUUGGUAACCUAAGUUGAACAUCACAACUAGGUUGCAGAUUAAGAGUACUUGAUCACAACCACACAUCAAACGGAUGAUCAUAAAUGAGUAAAACGAACGUUAGUUGUAGAUUGGAGACUUGAAUGCGUUUGGACUUAAUUUUCAUGGAAUUGGCUUGUAAUGGUGAAAUUGGUAUCCCUAGUUCCAUUCCCAUCGGUUUUGAAUUAAUCUAUCAUUGAUCUUUAUAUUGUCUUGCAUUUUAAAUUACUUUAGCUUUCAAAACUAAAAUCUAAAUUCAGUUUUCAUUUUCAUUGCUUAGUUAGGGUUCACAUAAAGCAAGUAAUUUGUAGAGUUCUAAUCAGUCCCUGUGGUUCGACACCCUUGAAGGAAAUUUUUAGGAAAAACCUGUUCAUUUGAGCAACAUCUAUGGCAUGCAAUUAACAUUUAAAGGCAGAAUCAUGCUUAUAUGCACUCAAAAACAAAACAUUACCCAUGAAAUUCAAAAGCCUAGUAGAAAGGUGAACCAAGACUCAACUCAAAACAAAGUAAGUUGAGAAACUUUAUACCUUUGAAGAUUCCUCUUUGCAUAAGCAAAGGCUAAUCACCCAAGGAGAGGGCCUUCAUUCCUUGCUUCUUAGUUCCAUUGAUUCUUGGAGGAGGAUGGUAGAUAGGAAUCUCCAAGUUCUCAAAAUAGAGAACCUCUAAUUUUCCACACCAAGGAGAGACUUGAAGAGGAGAUGAGUGACCUUGGAGGAUGAGAGAUUGCUAGCUAAUCUCCUCCAAGGGGGCCGGCCUCUUUGAGAGAAAGGGAGAGACAUUUUCUCUCCAAUUUUCUCCAAAAGAAACCCUAAGAAUGAAAUGGCACCUCACAAUGGAGUGGCAAACUUGCAAUUAAAGCAAGUUCACUACCCUCCUCUAUUUGGUCGGCCUUAAGGGUUUAUUGGGCUUUCAAGCCCUUUGUUUAUUCAAGUUGUCAUACAACUUGAGUUAAUGGGCUUGACAUUCAAAUCCCAUUGAGCCUUGUGGCCCAAAACUAACCCGAAGUCUUUAACGAACUUUAUUCGUUUGAUUAAUUAACAUAUUAAUUAAUCCUUGCCAUAAAUAAUUAAACCAUUUAAUUAUCCUUACUCAUCUCCGUUAUUUCUUCAAUCUCUACCUUACACAGUGUACGAUCCAUUAGGUUCCUUUUAGCGAGGCAGUGGGCGAUUAGAACUCUUUCAAAUCGAUUGUGAAUUGAAAGUUUAGUGAUUAUACACGUUUAGGGCUUCCACAAACCAUGAGUGACACCUAGCAGUAUGUCAUGGUAACCUAAGCUAAUCAGAAGAGGUGGAGAACCUAUUCAGUUUAGGAUUACAAUGCAAUACGGUAUUUCUCUAAUAAAAUACUCUUGACCACAUUGUUUGGUUUGAUAGUUUAUUCAUGUCUUCUAUCCAAUGUAAUUAUCUUACUUAUAUGAUUACCUUGAAUGUGAUUUGGAACGACUUCCUAAAUCUCAUUCAUACUCUGGCCAGAGAUUCUUAAUCAUAUCAUAGAGUAUUCUCCCUCAAACGGUUUGAAGGUUAGAGAUCCCUUGUUGCGCAUUUACUUGCCUCCAUGGCUAAGUGGCUUAACCCCAACUAUGUUGUGGACACCCUCUGAUGGAGUGACUUUGACAUAGUCAAAGAUCAAGGACCUAACCACAAGACAACUAUGAUGCCUCAGGUCAAAGGACUACUUUGCAUUAUCCCAACCAUGAGUUCUCAUGUGACAUGAGUAUGAGAACUCAUCAUUGAUCGUGUUCAGUGGACUCAUUCUCUAUUGAGCAUCUACAUGCUUGUCUUGGUGUCAAUCAUACCAAUGACUCGAGACUAGUCACUCUCCCUAAGAGAAGACAUAGCACGUACUGAUCUUAACGGACUGUCAAUGCCCAAUUGGCAAUCUUAUGAUCAGGAACGUUUAGGAUAUGUAUACGAAAGAGAAUGGUCUCAUGAAUCUAACUUCUUUAAAUGACAUUCUCCUAAUUACAUAUUCCUUGGACUUAUCGUUUAAGCAUAUAACAUUAUAUGAGACGGCUUAAAACAAUAAUCUUUGCCCUUGAUAUUAAACUAGAUUAGUUUAACAUGUGAAAUGUCUGUAAAGUAUCAUCAUAUGAUUGGUUUUAGGGCACAUUUCCAACAACCCUUACUUGUGCCAUUAUACUAUCCUUAUAUUUCCGUUUGAAAGGAACACAACAAAAUUUUGGCUCCGUUGCCGGGGACUGAUUUCAGUCCCCUUUAAUUGCUUGCUUUAUAAACCCUUUCUAUUUUUAUUUUCUUAGUUUAGAUUUUUCAUUUACAAUUUAGUUUGUUUUGAUUUCAGGUGGUAUAAAAAGAUGUGUGGUGUAUGUCAAUUAUGUGCCAAGACUGGUCAUCCUUUUCAGUUAUGUCCAAAGAGAGAUGAAUUUCUUACAUUUGUCUGAGAGCAUUCACACCUCAUAAGUUUAUCCAACCAAAGGCCAAUACAUCCAUUAUCAAACACAAAUAGCCCUAUUUGGAGAAACCUUAAUAUUGACUCUUGGAACAACAUACAAGCUCCAAAUCAAACAUUUGCACCUCCCCCACAGCAGACCCCUUUGACACUUCGUUGGAGGACACUUUGGAGCUACUUACCAGGUUGGAAAUUCAAUUUGGGUAGAUUGUCCAAGCGUUAAAUGAACAACCAUGUGGUGAUGGUUAAGAUGUGAACGAUGAACAAUCAUUGGAAUCUAGCUGUGCCGAUAUACAUAGAGAAGUUCUUGAAUUUGAAGCUUUUUCCCAAUCUUCUAAUUCUCUAGAAUUUUUUUCGAAAGUUAUGUUGGAUUCUCCUUGUUGUUUUACAUCUUUACAGGUGCCAUCUUUGGAGUAUUUUGGAGAUGAUUUGCUUCCAUAUCAAAAGAAAAACAAAUUGAAGUUGGAUGAUGAAUCAUUACUGCCCAUUCACCAUAAGAAAGAAGAUUCGGAGCUAGACAAUGAGAUUGCUGCCUUGAAUGAAUUUCAUUCAUCCAUUGAAGCCACAUCUUCAACAGUUUUCGAGGAUAUGCUUAUUCGCAAUGAGAGACGAAAACACCAUCACAAUCAAGUCCUUGUGGAAAUUCAACGCACUAUAUUCAAAGUCCCUCGAAAGAAAUGACUUCUUCAGACCAAGGUUCGGAGGUACCUUGACUUCUUGCCACCCUAGGUGUUCAUCUAUCAUGGUACCAUGUCUUGCCUAGAUGUUGAGUGCAUAAAGUUAUAUUUAUAUGCCCUCUUUUACUUAGGUUUUUGACUUAAAAUCUCAAUGGAUCACAAGGUAUUUUAUUGUUUGUAUUGUAUUUCAGGAUGAAAGUAAGGGCUUGAAGAAAUCAUCUUAUUUUGAAUAUUGUAACAAGUGGCCCAAGAUUCGAUAAAAAAGGCCCUUGCUGAACAACCAACUUGCGAGCUUUGCCCCGAAGUGCUCAGAAAAACUUAGAAAAUGGGCCAUAUAUGGUUGGAAAGCCCUGGAAGUCUUCUUUCUGAUGCUCUUUACACCUUGUGAUUUGAAGGUUCCGACAAGAAAUUAUGAUAAGAUAAAGAGGAGCUAUUCAGUUACAAAUUCUGAUAACAGCUAGUUUUCAGUUACUCCAAUAAUAAAAGCUGGUUGUUAUGAGCUAUAAAUGACAGUCAAUUCAAGGAUGUAAAUGUGUCAGAUGUUAUAUAAGUCAAAUAGGAGACAAAUACUCAACAAAAAAACAUAGAAUCUGGAGAGAGAGCAGAAGUCUUCAACCAUGAGCAGUUUCUAGGUUCUAGCUUUCUUGACUUUUUAUGUAUUUUUUUUUUAUGGAUACUUAUGGCUGCUUUGAAGCCUUAUACAUGAUUGAAUUAAUGUUAUGAUGCAGCUUUAGUUUAUCAAUUUCAUUUGCAAGUUAGAAUCAGUUUUCUGUUUUAAUCAUUUGAAGCAUAUAUUUUCAAGCUUAGCUACCUUGUUUAUGUUUGCUUUCUGUUGAGAAUGAUAAGGAUGACUACCAUAUCUCCUUUCAUUCAUUAGCAACAUAUGGUUAGGUUUAGAACUAAUCAUGUAAAUUGAUUCCAUGAAGUUCUAGGAUAAAUGCCAUGUUCUAGGGUUCAUGUGAUGUUCAUAAUCCUCUUCGUUCUUAAUGAGUUUCUAGGUGCUAAAUUUGAGUAUAUGCCAUGCUAGGUUGUGCUGUGUUCCUUUCAAGUCCAAAUAUAAGGAUAGUCUAAUGGCACAAGUAAGGGUGUCGAACCACAGGGACUGAUUAGAACUUUACAAAUUACUAGCUUUAUGUGAAUCCUAACUAAGCAAUGAGAAAAUGAAAACAAACCCAACCUAGUGGGUACCUUUCAACUAGGCACCCCCUCACCUCCAGAUUAUCUUCAUGAUGAUUAUUAUGAAGAUUGUUGGGAUGAUGAUCCGAAUGUGGAGGAGGAUAUUGCAUUCGAACAAGUAGAAAAACAUGGGGAAAAGGGGGAAGGCGGAAAGAGGAAGUAGAAGUAGUGAGGCAAUGGGAGGGUCCUCCUUGGAAAAAGGGUAAUAGGAGAAAGGGUCCAAGUCCGGCGUGGAAUGAUGCUAAGAGGGUAACGAUCACCGAUAAUAAUGAGGAGAAUUCAUUCAUGGCCGAAUGUAAGCAUUGCAAACUCUUAGUACCAGCACACUUUAGAACUCACGGGAUGGUGGGAAUUCUUAAGCAUUUGAGGAAAUGCCUGAGUUCUAGUCUUUUUGAGAAUGUGGAUCCGAACCAACCUACAUUGACACAAGCGAGGAUAGGAGGUUCGAUUGUCACUCACACUUUCAAUAAAAGAAGACUUGAUAGGAGAUGUGUGAGGUGGAUUAUAAUAGCGGAGAUGCCUUUUAAAGUGGUUGAUCAAGAAGACUUUCGAGCUUUUAUUCGUGAUUUGAAUCCAAAGCACAAACUUCCUAAAAGGCAUAAGGUGGUGGCGGCGGUUUUGGAGUUGUAUUUUGAAGAGAUGGCAAAAAUAAAAAGUGUGACUGAGGGGUUGAGAGUGAGUAUUACAACCGAUACUUGGACCUCAAUUCAAAAGAUAAACUACAUGGUCAUCACAGCCCAUUUUUUGGACACUAAUUGGGGGUUACAUAAGAGGAUCCUAAACUUUGUCCAAGUUACUUCUUAAGGGUGAUGAUAUUGGAAGAUGUCUAGAGGUUUGCUUGAAUGAUUAGGGCAUAGACAAGUUGUUUAGCAUUACCGUUGACAAUGCUAGUGCAAAUGACACCGCUAUUGCAUACACGAAAAGAAAACUCCAGUCAAAUGGUACUUUUUACUUGACAGGGCUCACUUUCUCAUAAGGUGCGCUUGUCACAUCCUCAAUUUGAUAGUUAAGGAUGGAAUUGAAGGAAAUAUUUGUAAAAACAUGUUCAUUUAAGCAACAUCUAUAGCAUGCUAUUAACAAUUAAAAGGCGGAACCAUGCUUGCAUGCACUUAAAAACAAAACAUUAACCAUGAAAUUCAAAGCCUAGUAGAUUUGUGAACCAAGACUCAACUCAAAUCAAAGUGAGUUGAGAAAUUAUACCUUUGUAGAUUCCUCUUUGCAUAAGCAAAGGCUAGUCACCCAAAGAGAGGGCCUUCAUUCCUUGCAUCUUAGAUCUAUGGAUUUGGAUGGAUGAAAUAGGUUUCUCCAAGUUCCCAAAAUUGAGAACCUCUAAGUCUCCACACCAAGGAUGGAUUGAUGAAGAAAUGAGUGACCUAGAGGAAGCAAGAUUGCUAGUUAAUUUCCUCUAGGGUGGCCGGCCUCUUUAGAGAGAAAAGAGAGCUUUGUGUUCUCAUCCUUUCUCCAAAAGAAACCCUAAAUGAAUUUUGGCUAUAAAGUCAUAUUUAUACCUUAAUUUAUUGGAGUGGCAAACUUGUAAAUAAGUCCAAAACCCACUCCAUCUCUAAAUGGCCGGCCAUAGGGAUUCAUUGGACUAUUUGGGCCUUUUGUGAAUCAUUAUUCAUUAAGUUGUCAUACAACUUAAGUCAAUGGACUUGACGUUCGAAGCCCAUUGGGCCUUAAGGUCCAAAACUAUCCCGAGGUCUUUAACGAACUUAUUCGUUUGAUUAAUUAACAUAUUAAUUAAUCCUUGCCAUAAAUAAUUAAACCAUUUAAUUAUUCUUACUCAUCUCCGUUGUUUCUUCAAUCUUUACCUUACACGGUGUACGAUCCAUUAGGUUCCUUUUAGCGAGGCAGUGGGCGAUUAGAACUCUUUCAAACCGAUUGUGAAUUGAAACUUACUUUCAAUUCUCCCUUUAGUGAUUAUACACGUUUAGGGCUUCCACAAACCAUGAGUGACACCUAGCAGCAUAUCAUGGUUACCCAAGCUAAUCAGAAGAGGUGGAGAACCUAUUCAGUUUAGGAUUACAAAUGCAAUACGGUCUUUCUCUAAUACAAUACUCUUGACCACAUUGUUUGGUUUGAUAGUUUAUUCAUGUCUACUAUCCAAUGUGAUUCGUUUACUUAUAUGAUUACCUUGAAUGUGAUUUGGAACGCCUUCCUAAAUCUCAUUCAUACUCUUAUCAGAGAUUUUCAAUCAUAUCAUAGAGUAUUCUCCCCCAAACGGUUUGAAGGUUAGAGAUCCCUUGUUGCGCAUUCAAUUGCCUCCAUGGCUAAGUGGCUUAACCCCAACGAUGCCAUGGACACCCGCAGAUGGGGUGACUUUGACAUAAUCAAAGAUCAAGGACUUAACCACAAGACAACUGUGAUGCCUCAGGUCAAAUGACUACUUUGCAUUAUCCCAACCAUGAGUUCUCAUGUGACAUGAAUAUGAGAACUCUUCAUUGAUCGUGUUCAGUGAACUCAUUCUCUAUUGAGCACCUACGUACUUGUCUUGAUGUCACACACACCAAUGACUCGAGACUAGUCACUCUCCCUGAGAUAAGACAUAGCACGUACUGAUCUUAACGGACUGUCAAUGCCCAAUUGGCAAUCCUAUGAUCAGGAACGUUUAGGAUGUGUCUACGAAAGAAUGGUCUCAUGAAUCUAACUUCUUUAGAUUGCAUUCUCCCAAUCACAUAUUCCUUGGACUUAUCGUUUAAGCAUAUAACAUUUAUAUGAGACGGCUCAAACAAUAAUCUUUGCCGUUUAUAUUUAAACUACAUUAGUUUAACUUUGUGAAAUGUCCGUAAAGUAUCAUCAUAUGAUUGGUUUUAGGCAAGGAAGAAAAAAUCGAUAAUAUCGGCGAUAUUUCGCCGAUAUUAUCGUUUUUUUAGGGGUCCGAUAUUUUUUUAACUAUCCAAAUGAUUUUCGUCAAAAUAUCGCGAUAAUAUCGAUAAUAUCGCGAUAUUUUCGAAACUAUCGCGAUAUUUGGCACUGUAGUAACCGGAGAAGAACGCCGGAGCAAAUUAACCGAAUCCCUAAAUCCCCAAAUUCGAAUUCAAAAGCAAAUUAACUGAAUCCCUAAAUCCCCAAAUUCGAAUUCAAAGAAAAUUAACUGAAUCCCUAAUUCCUAAAUCCCUAAAUUCGAAUUCAGUACAAAAAUGAAAUUACAUGCAGAAAAUUCGAAUUCUGUACAAAAAUGAAAUUACAUGCCGAGAAGAAGAGAAGUAGGAGCCUGGGAACGUCGUCUUCCUCACAAAUCCAAGACGGCUGGGACAACGUCGUCCUCCUCACCGACGACUACGAUGAGUUUCGGUCCAUCGUCCGGUGUCCGCUGCCUCCGCUUCUCUCCGGAUCCCAAAACCCGCUCAGGUUUGAUGCAUUAUCCUAGAGGAAUCAGACAUGCAUGUUUCGCUCUACCAUGGAUGGGGUCUGAGAGGAAAAAGAGAGAGAGAGUAGAGAGAAAUGAAAGACUUCUUUCCGUCUCUAUUGAAAUGCGAGAGACUGGGGUUUACAAAGCUUUCAGAAAAGUAAGGUUGAUCUUAACCGUUCCUUUGGAAUCUUAAGGAGCUCCAUGCCGUGAUGCAUGCCACGUGUUCAAAGCUGGAGUAUUCCUAUGUCUGCUCAAUUUACUCGGUUUGAAUUAAAGAGGGGAGAGAGCCGUUUGGGCUCUGACAGAGACAGAAACAAAUCUGCACGCCACUUUUUUUUUUUUUUUUUUUUUUUUUUUUUUUUACGGGGAAUCCAAUGUUUAUUUCAAAAGGGCGUGCAGCAAGUGGCCCGUCACGUCCUGAUCUUUUCCAUACAUCCCAGGUGGUUUGAAGUCCUUUCUUUACAUUUUGUUUUCUAGUUUCUUUCAUUUUCUUUUCUUUUUAUAGUCUUGUCCAUUUUAUUUUUCUAGUGUCACAGUUUUUGUGUUGUGUUUUUUUUAUUUUUUUUAGUUUUCUUUUUAUUUUCCACACCUUGAGGACAAAGUGCGAAAUAAGUUUGGGGGUGGGAAAUAACAUUUUAGGUUUUUAAUUUUUGUGUCAGGAUAAAAUUUUCAUUCUUCUUAAGUUAAUAUCCAUAGAUUAUUUUAAACGUUAAAACAAAUGGACAUGGUAAAGAUUAAUCCCACAGUAGAGUCUUUUCUAUUUAUCGUUGCUUAGACACUAAUUCAUGAAUUAUACUUUAAAGUUUGCACAUCACACUAACAUGGUUUGUGGGGAGUGAGAUUGAAACACUCGCUUUUAGUCUAAGUUUAUUUUUAAAUUUUGUUUUAAGUAAAGUCAGUUAUUAUUGUGAAAAAGAGUAAUAAUUGUCUCACCCGAGGUUUUGCCUAGUAACCGGGCCAGUCCUGCCUAAUCAGCAGUGAUUCUCGCGUCAAACGGUAGAGUUUUGGCAUGGGGCAGGGUGGUUAGUUGGUUUCGUAGCCUUUUCAGCUCUGGUUAAUAAGUCCUUAGGGGUGUUCUACACCUAGUGCCCUAAAGCCCUAGUGGUUUGGGAGUCAUUGACCUAAAGCUCGCUACAUGGGUUGGAUCGAAAGUUUAAGUGAACCGACAUUGCACGACCACUACUGUUACUUUAUCUUCUUCUCCACGUGAAGACCAAAUUCUGUCAGAGAAGAACCAAAAAUGCAAUGUAUAAAGUGUAAAAUAUUGUACUAAUUUAUUAUAUAUAAAUGAUUAUGGUGUGUUUAGACUUCUUUCAUUAAUUACUACAUAUUUUCUACACUCACAAUGUUUGUCAGCUCGCUAUAUAAUCAACUUGAUAAUGUUAAAUCCAUCAUGCAAUGCAUUUCCUUCAAAUAUUUUGUGAUAAACUAAUAGAUAAUUGACUAAAUAAACAUCCUGCAAAGUUUCAAUAAAAAUUUCCAAGUUUUUUUUACAAUUUCCGUGGUUUCCAUGUAAUUUUUAUCGAUAUCGAUAUUAUCCCGAUAUUUCCAUCGAUAUUUCCGUGUUUUCGGACUACCGAUAUUUCCGAUAUUACCGAUAUUUUCUUCCUUGGUUUUAGGGCACAUUUCCAACAAUCUCCCACUUGCACUAGAGCCAAUCAGCUUGGUCAUCAGUGAUGAUACCUCUUCUGUAGUCAUUUCAUAAAUGGCUGAGUAGUAGGCCUAGACAAUGGAUAUCUAUAUGUUAUCCAUAGAAGCAACCUUGAGAAUAACGACGUCACCAUUAUACAUGAUUCUCAAUCAUGUGGUUCAGUCUCUCAUAUGAGUUCGAAUCUUGAUGAGACCUUGAUUCCCUGGCUUGAGCUAUCGCCCCAUUAGUGUCAUAGUGUCGAUACACUAGAUACACUUUCUGGUUGGAACCGAAUAGAGAGUUCAUAAAUGAACUUUCCCAUCCAAACAACAUUGUUGUAAGCUUCUAUAUGGCAAUAUAUUUUGCAUUCAUAAUGGAACACACUAAAGUCAUUACUUUAAUGUUUCCAUCCAAAUAUCUCUUUAGUCAUAAUAAAGAGAUAUCUGUUUAUCUCUUCAUUCAUAAUGAAGAAACAUCCAAUGAUGGAUUAGAUUCAUAAUCUAAUACAUUUACGCUUCCAUUACGUUACUCUAAUUCUUCCUCAAUUAUUGAGGAAUCUAUCCUUUAGUAUUUCUUAAAUACUUAAGGACUCACUUGACAGUUGCCAUGGUUCUGAUCCUGGGCUUGUACUGAUAUCGUCUUGUACCUUUCUAGGUACAACUCAUAUCAAUGUUUUUCAUACAAUAUGAAAUACAUAAAUCACCUUUCUGCUUACGCAUAAAGGAUUCUAUUUACGCAUUAUUUCUUUGGGAGUCAAAGAGUACGUUCUCUUUGAGAAGAGCAACUUCUUAGUCUCACUAGAGUUGUCCUUUUGAUUGAAGUUCAUCAUUAUAUGAGAAACUUCCUAUCAUCUUUUGUCUAUAUUUAGGGCUUGAUAUAAUCCAAUUAUAUCCUAAAAUCUAUCAAUAUAGAUUUCCAUCCCAUGUAUAUAGACUAUGUCUCCCAUAUACAUUCUAUCUUCAUAUAAUGUUUUAAAGUCAUAACUUUAACGAAGAAGUAUUCUUUUCAUUUCCAAAAUUAAUAUAUCAUAUAUAUGUUAAAUUUUAGGAAUAUGAUUAACUCCCACUAAUCUUUUGUAAACCUAGUAAACAAAAGAUUCAUUUACAUCUUUAUGAGAAAUCAAACGAUUUGAUCCUUUUCUCAUAAAAUGCUUAUAGCUCCCACUAGCUUGCUAAGAUUCAUGAUGGAUAGAUCUCUACAACUUACAUGUCUUGUGAUUUAUAGUUUUAGACAUAUAUUAUCAAGACUAUCUUAAUAAUGGUUUCGAAAACUCAUAUUAUGUCCAAACAUUGAAUCACCAUUUAGUUGUAGCUAGCAAUCUUCGAAUUAAUUGAAACCAAGACUAUCUCAAAAAUGGUUUCUUCAAAGUCACCCAUUCUCUUUGAUUGUAGUCACCUUAAGCUACCAAUUAGCUUAUGAAGGUUUCAUUAUUUCGGGUCAAAUGGUACUUUACCAUUUCCUUGAGUAUAUAUCAUAUAUACACUCAAUGUAGUCAUAAGGAUUUUCAUUCUUAUUUCUUUCGAAUUAAGAUGUGCAACUCUAUGACAUAGUCAUAAAGUUCAAACCAUUCAACUGAGACGGUUUAUAAAUCCUUCUCGACUACCUUGGAGCUUUGGUAUAGGAACUAGGUUGUUAUAUUUGUUGAUUAUAAUCUUGUCUCUCAAAGAACCCAUUCUUUGAGUUCUAUCUUUCAUUCAUUUGCUCUUAGGCAAAUCAUAUUGUAAGACUACAAUGAACUACCCAACAAAACAACAUUUGUUAGUUGGUUUAUAGAAGCGAUAUCCAAAAGUUAAUUUAAGGAUAUCCCACAAGAUUGUUAUCAAACAAAUAUUGCUUAUUAGCACACAACCCCAAAUCUUAACAUGCUUGAGAUUUGUCUUUCUUUCCAACUACAUCUUAUGGAGUUAUGAAAAUUUUGGAAGAUCUUCUAAUUGACAAUCAUAUUGUCUUAGAAGUAUAUAUCCUAUAUAUGGGUAAUUGAUAAUAUCCAAUGAACUAAAUCUUAUUCAAGUUCGUUCUUCUCCUUAUGGAGAAAUCCAUUAUCAUAUGAUGCUUCUUUCCUUGAUAUCUUUCAAGAAAACUAUUCUAAAGUGUUACCAUUCCUUGGAUCAAAUCUAAGGAUGUAAAUACUUUAGACGUCUUACUCAUCAACUUAAAUUUCUUGAAUUCUUUGAAACCUUUUGCAAAGUAUUCGGACUUGUGUUUAUUUAAAAUAAACUAUAGUCCAACCGAGGGUGAUCUUCGGUGAAUGUCAUACAACAUGAGUAGUAUUAUGUUGUGGACAUGUGCCACUAACAUCUAAGUGAAUUAACCUCAACAACUUUGUGAUUCUUUAUUCUUUCCAAAAGAAUAAAGAUUCAAACAUUUUGUCUCUAUACAAUUUUAACAAGAAGGUAUUGGAUCUGGAUCUAACGAUCCAAAGCAUCCAUCUAUGACCAACUCGUAAUUUAUGUUUUAGAGGUAUCACAACUCAGUUGGGAUUAGUCACUACCUGGCAACCUUUUGGGUUUUAAGCAUCAUUAUGUUCUAAACAGUUAACACUACCAUAUCAUCUCUACUAUAGAGACAAUUAAUUAGAUUACAAUAAUCCAAUCAUUAAUUAAUAAAGAACAAUGUUUUGUCAAUCAAAACAUUCAUCCAUCUCUACUAUAGUGACGGAAUUAAGUUCCUUAAAAUUGGAAUGUAAAGACAAUCUUUGGUUUUUCCAAUUUCUUUGGUAGUUCAUAUGAGGAAGUAAGUACUAUCUGCUUUCGCAGAGAUCCAUAUUAUUCACGUUCCGAAUGUGAAGCACCUUUUUCUUUUCUCAUAUAUCUUCUACUUCUUAUUAGUCACACUUUUACAACGAUUGUAAAACAUAGUUACUAAUACGGAAUCAAGCAUUCAAGUAGAAGAACCAACUAUUUUGAACUAUUCAAGAACAAUUUACAACACCUUCGAAAGGUGUGUUCUUGACACUUGCAAGACUUUUCUUUCAAAUACCCCUUCCAAUGUCCAUCCUUUCAUAAAGAAAGUUUGUUCCCUUGGAGUUAAUUUUAUCUUCUUCAUUUGACUUCUCCUUUGACUACAAUGGUCAUGGUCCCUAAACUCCCACUAUCUCUCUUGAAACUUAUUUCAAUUGUGUUAUACACAUCAAACGAUUUGGAGAGUGUGUGGUUAUUGUUCACUAUAUAGUUUACAAUAAACUUAGUGAACCAUUAGGAUAGGGACACUAAAGUGAAGUCCUUGCCUAGUUUCCGUCUCGUUAAGUGGUUUAUCACUUCAACACUCAAUGAUUCAAAAUCAUCAUAAGUCCAUGUUGAUGGACUAUUUUUGUCAACCAACCAUUAUGUUCUAAACAUAAUUACAAACUUUCAAGAGUUGUUCAAGGCAACUCUCAUUUCUUCAUACAACAAUUUGUAAGUGAAGAAUCAUGGCACAUAAAGUGUCCAUGCCAUUGUGCUUUCUUCUCAAGUUUCUUUGUUCAUUUAACAAAGAAAACAAGCACUAGUGUUUGCAUUGACUAAGGGUUGUUCAAAGCAACUCUUAUUUCUUCAUACAACAAUUUGUAAUUGAAGAAUUAUGACAUUAAAAGUGUUGUCCUCUUUAUGAUAGACUUUUUCUAACAUAUUCUUCUAAUGAUACAUUAUCAAUAGGAAGAUUGUGAGGAUAAGACUACUUAGGUACAUAUGCAAUCCUUUUAAGACAAUCUUUGGGCUUGUGGUACCAAGUCCGGAAACUAAAGCAUUCGGCUUUUCUUUGUCAAGUUUUGGAUAGCGUUUGCAAAUAUAUUGGUAAACAAAUACAUAACGAAUAUAAAUUGAUUGAUUUUUAAGCCAUUUGAUCCGGGUCUUUAAAUCAAAUAGCACCGCCCACUAUUUUUGGCAAAUUCCAUAUCCCUCAUUGGAAUUCGAGAGUUUUGGAGGAAACUCUUAGUAGGGUAUGGGAGACUCACUACUACCAAGCCCACCUCACAAUGAUAUGAUGUUGGCUAGCAUUAAUAAUAAUGAGAGAGUACGCUUACUCAUUCACAACAACCUCUUGUGAUUACCCAUCUUUUUGGCCUCUAGAAAACAAUGCCUCACAAUGAUACGAUGUUGGCACCAUUUCUCUUAGUUAAGUUCUUUCCCACUAUGCCAGUUUAGAUAGGGGUUCAAGUAUGACCUCACGAUGAUACGAUGUUGGCCACACUCGUUGCCUACCUUAACCUCAUCAAAUGUUUUAAAUAAACUCCUCUUGAGUAUAAGCAUGCACUUUGCACUCCCCCAUGAUAGGGUGAAGGCGGUGUACAAGUCAUAAACGAUUGGAGUCUACCACGGUGGAAGGCCACGAAAGAGUGUUCAAAGCACUCUCACGCUUAUCAACUUAAUAAUGGUUUGGUUGAGGGUUUUAGGUCUCAUCACAUAUAAAUAUUCAUUUUAAUCUAUAUUAAAACAAUUUUGGUCCUAUUACAACUAUUGGUCCAUUUGAUAGUUUUUAGUUGUAUAUAAUACUCUCACUAUGCUUAUAAAACGGUUUUUAAAGCAAGAGUAUAUGAUACUACUAACAUAAACUUUGCAUUCAUUUUAUGGACUAUAUAGUUGCCUUAGGGCCUUAGGAUGACUAUGAACCUUUGUUUAGAUUCAACACGAGCCUAGUGUUGAAUCUCAGUCUAGGGAUGGUGAUUGAUUUUAGUUACGCGUUUAAUCACAUUAAGGCGUGUUGUCUUAGGGGCGUUGGACCCAACUACUUCAUUUUCAUGCAUAUCAAAUAAAGCAAGAAAGAAGUACUUCAAAGUAAAGAUGAGCUUAUGCUCAUUACAACAUUUGCAUAAUUCAAAUUACUUUAAAGUAAAGAAGAGCUUAAGCUCUUUUACAACAUUUGAUCAAAUCAAAUUACAACCAAAAUCUAAUCUACACAUUCCCAUGGUUCAAACAAAUUUGAAACGGCCUUUCACAUAGCUCAAUUAUCGUAGGCUUAGGUUCAUAAUCACCCUUUAAUUAAUUAACACUUUAACUAAUUAAAUUUGAAUGCAACAUUUUCAUUUGGUUUUUGUAUCCAUAGAAUUGAUUUAAAUGGAGCUAAAUGAAAUGAAAAUCCAAUUCUCAUUUAAAGAGACAAAACCAUUUUGUUCUCAACCUAAUUUGGGCCAAAAUGCAAUUACCACAACUUUUGGGCUAUAUUGCAAAAACACAAACUUUUGGGGUCACUUUGUAAAAACACAAAAGUCCACUACUUCAUGUAAUUACAACUAGAACCCAAAAUUUUCAAUAAAUUCAAACUUCAUUAAAGGAGCAAAACAAUUUGUCCUUUAGCGUUUUUAGGCCUUAACGUCAAAACGUAAACUUUCGGGUCAAAAUACAAAUACACAAAAGUAUCAAAACUUUAUGUAAUUGCAUAAAAGCCCCAAAAAUACCCUAUUUUAAUAGGGUGGCCGGUUUUAGGGAGAAAAAGGAGUGGAGAUAAGUCCACAAAAAUUUGGAAAUUUUUCAACUAAGUCAUAAAGCCAUGCAAGUGGAAAUAAGUUGAUGUGAAUAAAGCCAUGCAAGUGGUGUGUGUGUGUAAGAGAAGUCCUUCUUACACACCCAUCACCAUUUCUAUCACCUUUCAAAAAUAAUAAAUGUUUUGAUGAUAGAUAAGUCACACCCACCAACACAAAACAAAGACUUUAUGAAAUAAAUCAAAACUUUGAAUCAAAACAUCAAACCUUUUUGUUCUUGGCAAGAACAUCAAGAACAAUGAAGAACAUCCAUGAAAACCCAUAAGAGCUCCAUGAAUGUUUUCAAGCAAUAAAACUCAAAUUUUCACCAUUCAAAAUGGGGCUAACAUCCUAGGGUACUUAGGGGUUCCAAAAGUCACUUUAAAACACUUUUAACAAGUCAAACAAGAACCCAAAGAAUCACCCUUUGGAUUUGGCCGAAAAUCCCCAAAAACUUGGCACCAAAUUUUAGCUCUAAUAUUCAUGCUCAUAUGAACUACAUCUACAACAUUUGAGAUGGCAAAUUUUCUAACAAAAUUUACAUUCAAAGAAACAAGAAUAAAGCUUGUAACAUAUUACAACUUUUAAAUCAAAACUAUGAAAUACAAAACCCAAAAGGACUCACCAACUACUAGACCUAGGCUCUUAUACCACUUGAAGGAAAUAUUUGUAAAAACAUGUUCAUUUAAGCAACAUCUAUAGCAUGCUAUUAACAAUUAAAAGGCGGAAUCAUGCUUGCAUGCACUUAAAAACAAAAUAUUAACCAUGAAAUUCAAAGCCUAGUAGAUUGGUGAACCAAGACUCAACUCAAAUCAAAGUGAGUUGAGAAAUUAUACCUUUGCAGAUUCCUCUUUGCAUAAGCAAAGGCUAAUCACCCAAAGAGAGGGCCUUCAUUCCUUGCAUCUUAGAUCUAUGGAUUUGGAUGGAUGAAAUAGGUUUCUCCAAGUUCCCAAAAUUGAGAACCUCUAAGUCUCCACACCAAGGAUGGAUUGAUGAAGAAAUGAGUGACCUAGAGGAAGCAAGAUUGCUAGUUAAUUUCUUCUAGGGUGGCCGGCCUCUUUAGAGAGAAAAGAGAGCUUUGUGUUCUCAUCCUUUCUCCAAAAGAAACCCUAAAUGAAUUUUGGCUAUAAAGUCAUAUUUAUA
rnacentral:lncRNA from 1 species